rnacentral:rRNA from 1 species
GACAGAGGGUGCAAACGUUGUUCGGAAUUACUGGGCGUAAAGCGUGUGUAGGCGGCCAUGUAAGUCGGAUGUGAAAGCCCCGGGCUCAACCCGGGAAGUGCACUCGAUACUGCGUGGCUUGAGUACCGGAGAGGUUGGUGGAAUUCUCGGUGUAGAGGUGAAAUUCGUAGAUAUCGAGAGGAACACCGGUGGCGAAGGCGGGUCUCUGGGCCGAUACUGACGCUGAGGAGCGAAAGCGUGGGGAGCGAACAGG